GGUUACUAAGGAAGGAAAUGGCGUAACUAUGAUGCACAAGUUACCGGAUGUACGUUCGUCUUGUCUCAGUUCUGGCUCAGUGAGGGGAGCUUUUGGAUUGUUAAUUUAGGGAUUCUCAACCUCAGGCCUCUGAAUCAGAAACUCAACUCUGAGGAUAGGCUCAGCAACCUGUUUCAUGGAGCCCUCCAAGUAAUACCAAAGUCCGGGCAGGAGAACUUGCUUGUGCUUAAGCAUCUCAGGUACAAAGAUGAAGCAUUUCCAUUGUUGAAUGAUGCUCCAAAACUUUUUGGCACAGUUGGAGAUUGUUUAUACGAGCACAUCAAAUAGGGCAACUUUUAUAAAAAGAAAAGCCACUGGGGCAGAGUGAAGUAGAACCAAUUAAUCUGACAGUCAGUAGAAGAACCAAACUCAUGUAACUGAGACAAGAAAGUAACUACAAUUUAUGGAUAUAUGUGGCCAUUCAUCUUGUGGUUUAUUUAGAGAAAAUACUAAACACAGAGCCCAUGUUUAUUUAUUCUCAUUUUUGCUGUGUCUUCUAAAAAAGUGUCCUGGGAUAAAGUACUGUUUUCUGCCCUAUCUAAAGAAAACGAGUUUAACCAUAUUUCCUGUAUCCUUAUAAGGCAAACAAGUUGAUGUGAAUGUAAUAGCUGUUUCUAACAGUUUGUGAGUUGUGAGCCCAGAUUAAAUGAUCGUGGGCUUUCAUUUUUUUGUUUGUUUGUUUUGGUUGUAAUCGAUGUUCUGUGUGGUCUUACUCAGUUUUUCAUUUGCAUUGCUCUCAGAUUUCUAUUUUAUGAUCAAAAGAAGACACAUCAGCUUUCUUGACUGGUAGGUAAAACAGCACACUUGACUGCAACCUAAAGUUCUAGUGUGGAUUCUACCUCUCACUAGCUGGGAGAUCUUCAGCAGGGAGACCUUAUGGAUAUCAGCCUCCAUUUCUUUAUCUGUUUUUCUUUGCAGCAUAUGGAAGUUCCCAGGCUGGGGGUCAAAUCUGAGCUGUAGCCACCAACCUACAUAACCACAGCCAUAGCAACACUAGAUCCCAGCCACAUCCUCCACCUAUACUGCAGUUUGCGGCAGCACUGGAUCCUUUAACCCACUGAGCGAUGCCAGAGAUUGAACCCGCAUCCUUAUGGACUGUAGUCAAGUUUGUUUGCGCUGAGCCGCAAUGUGAACUCCCAUGUGAUUCUUAGUUUAUGGGAAGUCAAGAAAGUCGACAUCAGAUCUUCCUUGAUUAAUCCAGUCCAUAGAUAAUUACUCAGUCCUACCCCCAUCUCUCCUUCCUCUGAGCUGCUACUGAAGUAUAUCAGGCUAUACAGUCUAACUCAUAUUAGUCCUCUGAUGGUAAGCUCUAGGAAGGCAGGGUUCCACAUAUGAAAUUUCAUACCCUCCCUUCCCUCCCUGGCCCCACCCUGGCCAACUCCCAGAUCUAGGCCUUUGUUGUAGAAUCAAUUAAUAUAUGUUAGCUAAAGAAGGAAGCUCAGGGACUCUACAGCUGUCUAUUAAGAACUGAUUUUUUUUACGAUACAGAGAAAAAAAGGUCAUUUGGCAAGAAUUUCCUUUGAUAACUUCCCCCUCCAAUACAUACAUCUAAAAAUAUUUUAUGUUAAUUCACCCUUGAAAAGAUUGAAAAAAUAUGGCUAUAUUAAAAUGUAACUCAUGCAUACAACCAAAAACAUCAUUACAAAGUUAAAGAUAAACCCCAGACCACAGAAAAUAUUUACAGAAAGAAGUAGUAACCAGAAUUAAAAAAAAAAAAAAUCCAGCCCAUCCUUAAGAAAACAGAUAAAUAACCCAACAAAAAAGUGAAAACA